CCUACGGGAGGCAGCAGUGGGGAAUAUUGCACAAUGGGCGCAAGCCUGAUGCAGCAACGCCGCGUGAGGGACGACGGCCUUCGGGUUGUAAACCUCUUUUAGUAGGGAAGAAGCGAGGUGUUUAUUCACUUCAUGACGGUACCUGCAGAAAAAGCACCGGCUAACUACGUGCCAGCAGCCGCGGUAAUACGUAGGGUGCAGGCGUUAUCCGGAAUUAUUGGGCGUAAAGAGCUCGUAGGCGGUUUGUCGCGUCUGCUGUGAAAACUGGGGGCUCAACCCCCAGCCUGCAGUGGGUACGGGCAGACUAGAGUGCGGUAGGGGAGAUUGGAAUUCCUGGUGUAGCGGUGGAAUGCGCAGAUAUCAGGAGGAACACCAAUGGCGAAGGCAGAUCUCUGGGCCGUAACUGACGCUGAGGAGCGAAAGCAUGGGGAGCGAACAGGAUUAGAUACCCUGGUAGUCCAUGCCGUAAACGUUGGGAACUAGAUGCNGGUCGACUCACGAUCUGUGUCGCNGCUACGCAUUAACGUUACCCGUCCCGUCGGGAGGUACGGCCGGCCGACGGACGUAAACCGUAACCGAAACGUAAGUAAGUUAGUACGGACGUAGAGACGUUACGCCGACGGACGACCGACGAGGGGAGGAGGG
rnacentral:rRNA from 1 species